GACGAACGCUGGCGGCGUGCCUAAUACAUGCAAGUCGAACGCAGUGGGUACGGGUGAGUAACACGUGGGUAACCUCCCAUCAGAGGGGAUAACACUUGGAAACAGGUGCUAAACCGAUACUGAUGGAUGGACCCGCGGUGCAUUAGCUAGUUGGUGAGGUAACGGCGCACCAAGGCCACGAUGCCUAGCCGACCGGAGAGGGGGAUCGGCCAAACUGGGACUGAGACACGGCCCAGACUCCUACGGGAGGCAGAAGUAGGGAAUCUUCGGAAAUGGACGAAAGUCUGACCGAGCAACGCCGCGGGAGUGAAGAAGGUUUUCGGAUCGUAAAGCUCUUUUGGUAGGGAAGCGGUAGCUAAACAUAAAGCCACGGCUAACUACGUGCCAGCAGCCGCGGUAAUUC
rnacentral:rRNA from 1 species